rnacentral:tRNA from 1 species
GGAGAGAUGGCCGAGAGGCUUAAGGCGACGGUUUGCUAAACCGUUAUACGGUUCGAAAGUCUGUAUCGGGGGUUCGAAUCCCCCUCUCUCCGCCA